rnacentral:lncRNA from 1 species
CUGUUAAAAUGACCAUGACCAUGUCCUAGAGCAUUACCGUUACCAUGACCAUGUCCAUAUCCAUGUCCUGGAUGAUGAACACGGUGAUGUCUAUGUUCUUCGGGAGCAGGAGCUGGCGGCAAGGGUGGAGCAGGAGGAGAUGGCGGCAAGGGUGGAGCAGGAGAUGGCGGCAAAGGUGGAGCAGGAGGUGGUGGUGGAGGUGGCAAUGGGAAGUAUGGUAACCUUGCACAUGCAAAGUUUGCUAGAGCAAACUGGGAGGCACAAAAUGAGUGGUGAAAUGGCUGAGCCCCCAUCAUGGGCAGAAAUACUAAGAAGACAGCAAAAAUCAUUAACAUAUGAGUCUUGACCAUCUCCAUUUGCAUGGUUAAAGGAAUGGCUCAUGGAAUCUCACAACAGUUCUUCCUUUUAUACGUGCCUACUCACGAAUUUCUUGUUUCCACUAGUUAGACUUCCCUCCGGGGCAAUUGAAAAGGAAAGAAAGGAAUAACCAAGAGGGUGAGGCCGCUUUGUUAGUUGGCAUAAUGGAUGAGUAGCCUCCGAAGUUUACUGCCUCUUUCAUUUUGUGUGAUAAGGAGUUAGGUACCAUACCAAUUCUAAUGGAAAGUACAAUCCAUAUUCCUACAACAAUAACUCACGACUAAUUGGGAUUGAAAUGAAAUGAAAUGAGGCAACACCAAUAUUUCAGAAUUUCGUCCAUCAUAAUGAUGACAAAAAAGGUUCUUACAGUGACCUAUUGAUCUUCCAUUAACGGCUAAGACCAAUGAAAAAUGCCCUAUCUCCAUCAAAAAAGAAAACAAGGUGACCAUAAUUCUAAUGUGAAAGCCAUAUAUUUCUUCCAUCAGUUAGUAGAAAGGCAUAAAUCAGUGAGUAAAUUAACAUUAAUAACAACUAAUACAUGAAUAAGAACCGGCACCUUCUUUAUGCAUGCUAGCUCAUGUAGCUCACAGAUAUCAUGCACCUAAGUGUUUUACAUAUCUUUUGACCAAGUGCUUCAACCGAAACUCAGAGCAAAUGUUACAACGGGACUGGUGCAGCAUCAGCCACAAGAAAAUUAAUAAGUUGGUCGUAGCAUAUCUUCAGAUUAAGUGACGGAUAUAUAACUCACUUCGUCAGUCUUUAGAGUAUGAAAAACCUUGCUUCUCAAGGGAAAAAGAUGACAGAACUAGAAGGAUAUAGCCACAAAUCACACUUACAGGCUACAUGUUCAUACCAUCACCAACAAAAUUCCAUGACAAAUAUUCAAGGAAAAAGUUCAUAGGAUAAAUAAAAUUAAUAAAUAACAACAUCUGAGAAGAUCAACAGUCCAAGAGAAACUGAGCAGGGCACGGGGCAACAUGUUAAUGAAUUAAGACAAUGAGAUAAGUCCAAGUAAGUUUACAAAUUCUUAAGCUACUAAGGCAGUAUGAGAGUAUCAGCAAUGUUAGAGAUGAAUUUAUUUGCAUCUAUACUGCAGCUUCUCAAUCUUCCAAGAGCUCUCCUUCCCAGAUAAUACAUCAGAAUUGAUUUUAGAAUUUGAACCAGGAUGGUACAAGGCAAUCAUAUAGUGCACAACUGAUAUAAAAUAAAGGACUCAAAAAGUUUCAUUCUGACAAACAAGACCAGAUUCCUGCAACAUACUAAAACUCCUAGAUUUUUCUUUACCAUCACAGUGAUGCUGAAAUAGUGCUGUGCAGGAUCUAAUAUUCAUCAAUUUUGAUUAGGGAUAGAAACCAAAAACUCACAGCUAUUCUGUAAAAGCAAUACUUAAAUGUACGAAAGCAAAAGGCUUAUAAGGUCCAAGGCCUAAAGAUUGUGGAUACAAUUUUAAAUAUCUAUAUCAAACAAAGAAAAUAAUGAAUUUGUGUCAAUUUAUAAUCAUUUCUUGAUUAAUCAACAGUUGUACUCACCCCCAACAUCCAAGUAUUUGCAUGAAAAUUAAAUUCAGGGAUGAUUUACAAAAAUGGAAAACUAAAUUCUAAUGCACUAGAGGCAAAGAUUGAUAAUAGAAUCACUGGCCAUCAUAGCUAGAACCAAUCAUCCAACUUACAUGUUUAAACAUCAUGGACUAUAUGUGGCUCCAUAAACCAUUAAUGUAAGACAAGUUAGAAUGCCCUCUUUCAUUAAGUCCUAAUUUAUUUUUUUUCAGAGUCACACUAACUUGGAAAUUUACAGCUGUUCCUUGAACAUUGGAUUCCUUGCUGUUCGAUUGGCCACCCUGGUCCCAAUCCUUCAUUGCCAUCAAUUUCAGUUGUUCCUUUAACUUCAAUCUGAAUCCUCACUUGUUUCCAGCAUUUCCGAUUGUUCCUUUAACUCUCUCCAAUCUGAUUCCUCACUAAUCUCUUGUUCAUCCAGGUCCAGUUUCCCAAAUGCCAUCAUUUCCAUGUCCUUUGUUACCACUUCCUUUUGCGACCUCAGCUGCUCUGCUCUCUCUAGCCAACCCUCUUCCAACAACUCAACAAACUUAUCCUUAAUUUCAUGCAACGGAUCCCUAUCAAUCAACUCGCCAUCCCUAUAAGCUUCUCUUAGCAUUGCAGUCUUAAUACCCCCUUUUAAUGACAUGUAAAAUANNNGGACUGGAUCCUCUUAAGAGCGAAAGCGAUAACAACUCAUGGAAAACCCCAACUGUCCUCUUCUCCAUUUCUGGUGAAGCUUGAUCCAAAUGUGACACAUCCACAUAUGGUGAGAUAUAAUCUAGCUCUAACCAAUCCCUAACCCACUCCCUCAUUUCCUUCUUUAAGAAAAACCCAGGAGGAAGCUUAUAACUAAAAUUUGGCCUAACUCGAAUUCCCAUUAGCCUUGACUCCUCUUCAGCUCUUAGCUCAAUAACUGAUUUAGCAAACUCAGGGUUCCAAUCAACCAACUCCAAGAACGAUUUUCCCUCACCAGGACAUCCAAUUAACCUAAAAUAAUUUGGGUACUUAGGCACCAAGUUAACCAUAAAAUCAUUAGGGAAACCAAACUCUCUCUUAACAUGAACCAGCUUAUCAGCACUAAGCACUUUAUUCUUUGCCAUCAUAAGCAACUUACACAAUUUAGACACAAUUAACCCCUCAUUUUUAAACUGAAUCCUUUUCUCUUCUUCAAGAAAUUCCUUUACUCUGUCACUGACACGCAAAAACAUGACAGGAUCUGUUUUGGGUUUAAUUCUAUCAUAGUAAGUACCGAAAAGCCCAGGGUUCUGAUUAACAAAGGUCUUAACUUUGACAUGAAGGCGCAACCUUUCCCGCCUUUUUUCAAUGUAUCGGAGAGGAAUAACUUGACCUGGUUCAUUUAGUACCUCUUUAACGACGCGUGAACAAAGUUUGUAACGCUUAUCUUUCUCUAUAGCAAAGUCUAAUUUUGGGUCUUUUCGCCAUUCAACUUUCAGAUUCGAAAAGGGUUGGAUUUGGGUGGUGAAUUUUGGGUUUACGAGAGAAUAAUAUAUGGGUUUUUUAAGGUUAUUAUGUAAAUGUGAAGAAAUUAUGUGGGUUUUGAAAAGCAUACCUGGGAUUUAGCCAGUAAUUGAGCCAGAGACAGAACCAGAGUUGGGCAAAUUUGCCCCUAAACUUGGAUGUAACAGGCAAUUUAAAAUAUUUUUAAGAGCCUAAGAAAAUAUAAAUACAGAAAACCGUUAUUCCUAUUUCUUUUUCCAUCUCAACAUACUAAUUCCCAAAAUAAAAACCCUAAUUGAAUUAGUGGCACUUCUCUUUUCUUCCCCGAAUCAUAAAUACAGUAAAUCUUCUUCAGCAAUGUCGUUCUCAAAUUUAUUUUCUACACGUGUUGCAAUCUAUUAUUCCAUCAAACUGUUCUGCACUAAAAAGCAAACAACCGCAUCAAGAAUACAAUCAUAAUUAACGACACUGAGCGUACCAAUCGUCUCUCUCUCCCCCACUUUCUUCGAACCUUCUCCUUCUACGCUAAUCUUUAAGCAGGGCGAUUCCUCGGCCGUAUCAACACCGAUAAUGGCUAAUGGCUAAAAGCCCGUGGCAAUCAUCGAUACUUGCUUCCGUACUGGAAACUGAUACGAUGUUGCAGUAUUGGUGUAGCCACUGGAAUAAACGUGCCUCAAUUGAAAUCCUAGCUAAUGAAUCUUCUGUUAUUUACCUUGAUUGCAGGAACGGUUUCGUCGAAUUAAUCACCUCUACAGCAACUCCACCUUGUGCUACUCCUUCGUUAACCAGAGACCAGACUGAUUACUCUACUUCGGAUCUCAAAUCCUUCAAAUCACGAUUGCAACACGUGAAUUUUACCACCAUUACAAGCUUAAAAGCUUCAGAUAUGAUCUCUUACUUUUGGGGAUUUUUAACGGGUACAUGAGGGAGAGAGCUGAGAAUAAUGGGUGUUUUUAGGGUUUGUUGGACACGUGCCUAAAGAUUCCCGCCAGUUGAAAUAUUUUAUUCCUCUCUUACUUUAUCACGAUUACUUUUUAACAUUCAUUCGUAUUUUUUAUAAUUAAUUAGAAAAAAAUCAAAUAAAUUAGAUUAAUUUAUUUUUUAUAAUAUAAUUUAAAAAGAUUAUUAUUAGAUAUAUAAAAAUAUUAGGUAAUUAGAUUGUUUUAAUUUUAAAAAAUAGUUAUAAUGAAAUAAAAAAUAGUAAUAAAAAUAAAAAUUAAGAAAAAAAAUAUCAAGAGUCUUACUCUUUUUAUUUCAACUUUCAAUAUCUUUUUCUUUUAUUUCUUAUUUUUCAUUGAGAAAAAGAUAUAAAAACUACUUGAAAAUAAAUUAUAUAUUAAUUUGAAUAAAUAUAAUAAAAAUAUAUAAAAGAAAUUAUAUAUUACUACUAUAAAAUUUUAUUUUAAAUAAAAAUACUAAAAUAAUGUUUUCUUUAUAUUCGUAUGUAGAUACAUUUAAGAUUAUUUUUAUUUUUUAAUUGUAAAGAAUUAUAUUAAUUAAACCUUCUGCUUUUUGAAAAAAAAAUUUAAAAAUGCUCUAAGUAUAUGUGUUAUUAAAAAAGAAUAUCAAUCAUUUUUUAUAAAUAUAAUAUUUAAAAAUUUCAAAAGAAUUGAGAUUACUUUCAAUGUUAAACAAAUUCUAAAUAAAUAUAUUGAAUCACUGAGCUUAGAAUUUGACGUAUUCUUACGGUAAUAUAUGCAUUUGAUCUAAUUUGACAAUUUUAUGAAUUAAUCUUGUCAUAAUUAUAAAAUAUAAAUUAAAAUUUUAUCUACAUUUAAAUUUAAAGAAUGGAUUAAUACUUUAGAGUUAUAAAACAUUAAUAGAAAAUUGAAUUAAAAUAUUAGAAAACAAAACUUUUUUAUAUAAUUAAAUUUUAUAUCUUUAUUUAUAUAUUAAUCUAUAAAUAAUUAAUGUAUAUGGAUAGAUCUUAAAUAAUUAAAUAUAUUUAAUUAUUUAUAUUAAGAUAUUAAAAUAAAAAAAUUUAUAUAUUUAUUUAUUCAUUUUUAUUAGAAUUUAAAGAUGUAUGUAAGAAUUAGUUUUGAGAAAUUUAUAUAUAUAUUUUCAAAUUUUUUUAUGUAUAUUUAAUUUUUAAUGCAUAAAAGUUUUAUUUUGACACAUAUAUUUAUUUUUGAUAACAUAAUAUUGAAUUUUAUAUAUAAUUUUAUAUUUUUUUAUUAAUUAUUAAUUAACAAACUAUAUUUCUAGUUAAAUAAUUUUUAAUUUAAAAAUAUUUUAAUUAUUAUGUAACUAAUAAAUAAUUUUGAAUAGAAUAAUAAUACUAAUAUUAUCAUGAAAAUAAUAUGUUAAUUAUAUUUUUAUAUUUUAUUAAUCAAUAAAUUAAUAAUUAAAUAAUAAUUUUUAUUUUACAAAUUAAUUGAUUCUAUUAGACUAGCAAUUAUAUUUUUAAUUAGAAUACUAUGUUCAGUAAAAAUUAAUUUUUGAUUAUAUAAUAAAAUUUUAAUAUUUAAAAAUUAAUUUAAUAAACUGAUUAAUAAAAAAAUAAUUUUUAUAUUAUAACACUAAUAAAAUUUUUAAAAUAUUAUAAAAUAAAAAUAUAUAAAAAUAGCUAAUUUAUUAUUAUUUUGAAACAAUUUAAAUUAUUUUUUUAUUAUUUUUAUAAAAUUCAUAAAUAAAUUUUAUAAAAUUAUUUUAUAAUGAAAAUAAUAAGGGGAGAUUGUGAACAGUAAAAUGAAAGAAGACGACGGCAGGACUGCUCGUAAAACACAUGCGGUUGACCGAUGUGGUGUCCGUUGUCCAUAUAUCCUCGUAGUAUAACGUAUUGUCGUUUUCAAACUCAAAACAAAAAAGCAAACCACUCCCCACCCUACCUGGCCCUCUCUACUACCCUCCUUUUCCUCCCCUCCUUUUCAACGGCAAACGAAAAAGACUGACGGGGAACGGCGAUGCUGCUGCUGAACGCCCUAACCCUAGCAAGAACCAUGUUCUCCAUCAAUCACAUCGUUUUCGAAGCCGAUGACAUUAAAUUCGCCACUCUUUGGUGGUUCAUUUACGCUGGCAUCUCUUGCUUGCUUGUUCUCUUUGCUGGUAUCAUGUCCGGUCUUACUUUAGGCUUAAUGUCUCUUGGACUUGUUGAGCUUGAAAUUUUACAAAGAAGUGGCUCCUUUACUGAGAAAAAACAAGCUGGUCCGUACAAUCGAUCCGAGUCGAUUAUCCUUCGUUGUCUUUCUGUAAACUCUAAAGUUUAAUUUUUUUUUUAAAUUCCUAUUAUUGUUUUCGCAUUGCAGCUACUAUUUUACCAGUGGUUCAAAAGCAACAUCAGCUUCUUGUAACUUUGCUUUUAUGUAAUGCUUGUGCAAUGGAGGUAAUCAGUUCAAGUUACGUUUUAUUCACGACAUGGUUCUUCAAUGUGCAAUUAAAAGGGAGCUCUCACAUUGUUCUUCAUUUGUCACGUGUUCUUGCAGGCACUGCCUAUAUACCUUGAUAAAAUUUUCCAUCCCUUUGUUGCUGUUGUUUUGUCUGUUACUUUUGUUCUUGCUUUUGGGGAGGUACGAGUACCAUGUGCUAAAAAUUUGUUAUGAUUUUGUACUUAUUUUAACCUUAAGUACGAUUAAUUUAUCCCCCAUCUAUGUUGGAUCAGAUCAUUCCGCAAGCUAUAUGUUCAAGAUAUGGACUCUAUGUUGGUGCCAAUUUGGUAUGGUUAGUGCGAAUUUUGAUGUUCAUCUGCUAUCCCAUUGCCUAUCCAAUUGGGAAGGUAAUCACUUUCACUAGAUUAUUCAAUGUGACUGGUAUUUAGAACCAAUUGUAGGGAAAUGACGUAGUGUUAGUUGCACUUUUCUAGUGGCUGACUUGAGAUAUUUACAAUUUUUAUGCAACGGGGCUGGAGGUAACUCAGUUACCAAGUUUGUUCAUCAUAUUAUAAAUUGAAUGGCAUUUCAGGUUUUGGAUGCUGCAUUGGGGCACGAUGAUGCUCUGUUUAGACGAGCUCAGCUUAAAGCACUUGUCUCUAUCCAUGGCCAGGAGGUAAUACCUACUUGUGCUCUAAUUCAGUAAAAGUACAACCACUUAAACGGACUUGGACCUUCUCAGUUUUAUCAUCUGUUACUACUGUUCCAUCCAUUUUAGGCUGGCAAGGGUGGUGAACUCACACAUGACGAAACAACAAUUAUCAGCGGAGCACUAGAUCUAACCGAAAAGGUAGCUAGCUAUUGAUGGGGAAUUUCCAAGGCUUUGGAUGUUGUGUCUCGUGGCAAUCAUACAAAUUUAUCAUCUCAUAGUUGUUUUGUUUUCUAGAUAAAGACUACUAUGUCCACACUAUAUAUAGGAAGAUAUGGUGGCCUCUGAUUGAUUGACUGAGCCUAAGAAGGGAGCUUUUACUUAGUUGUGUCAUGUAAAUAAUAGUCUACCUCUAUUUCAUAACAUACAGAAACAACAUAAUCAAAUGGAAAACUCUACUCAUUCAAGUAAUGUCAAUAUCACUAUGACAAUGUGUGAGUUUUAUAUAUUUGCUUUAUUUUAUAAUGGUUCAUGCUGGUAUUUCUUUAUGUUUGGCCAGUCUUCUUAUGCUUGAAAAUCUUGACAUAUGGGUAUUAAGCUUGUGCUCAAUAUUUUCAUUUGGAAAAUAUGUAAGAUCCACAUAAAUUGAUUUUCUGAGGUUUGUUUUUGCAGACUGCCGAAGAGGCUAUGACACCUAUAGAAUCGACCUUUUCUUUAGAUGUCAAUUCAAAAUUGGACUGGUGAGUUUGUGUUGGGUGGUUUUGUUAUCAGAUUGAUUGCACAUCUUUGCUACGUUAUAAGAUUGGCAUUAUGGUGCUAGAAGUUAUAGUUUUAGUUUGGAUUCUGCAGCUAAUUGCUUUUAGGAAUUUAUUUCUAUUUUUGAGGACAGACUAUAAUUUAAUUUGGAUGCUUUAAGUCUAGUCAGGCUGCAUUACUUGGCUCAUAUGCAGUAAUUCUAAUUCUUGAGCUUAAGAAAGAAGAGGCAAUUUGCCAAUGGGAGUGGAGGAGGAUAUAUGCAAGCAAGUAUAUUGUUUCAGGAGCUCAAGAUCACUGAAGGUGUAAGUUGAGUUUCCUAAAAGAAAAAAGAAAAGAAUAUGCAGACGCUUUGCUAAGCAUAGUGUUACAUGCUAUGAAAUGGCUUCUAAGGAUCAUCUUCAAACCUAAUGACCAGAAGGGAAUAACCAGAGCUCUAUUCUUUCUUCUUCAUCCCUAUUGCCAGGAGAUGAGUUCAUACCUUAGACUUAUUUGUCUAUACAUUCAUUUUACUUGACGAGCUUGAUUCUACUGUUUCAAUACAGGGAAGCAAUCGGGAAAAUUCUCGCACGAGGCCACAGUCGUGUCCCUGUCUAUUCUGGAUGUCCAAAGAACAUCAUUGGGCUUCUUCUGGUGGGUGUAAAAAAAAAAAUCACUAGUUUAUGUUGAAUAUGUAUCCAUGUGUCAGCUGCCAGCUUAUUUAGAAGUUGGUUACUUCCUUUCAUAUUCUUAUUUUGAUUUUUAGGUGAAGAGUCUGCUGACAGUACGAGCAGAAACUGAGACUCCAGUCAGUGCAGUUUCUAUCCGCAGGAUUCCUAGGUGUGUGCACUUGAGUCCUUUUUUUUUUCUUCUUGUUAGUUUUAUUGUUCUUUAUGCUAAGGUACCAUUUCUCAUUUUUCUAAUACCCCAGGGUUCCAUCAAAUAUGCCAUUAUAUGAUAUCCUUAAUGAGUUUCAGAAGGGAAGCAGUCACAUGGCAGCUGUUGUGAAGGUUCAUGCAAAGAGCAAGAAUGCACAACCUACCAGUGAUGGAGAGAAAUUCAAUGAAAUCAAAUUUGCCAAUGGGGAUUCUCAGUUAAAUGCACCGUUGCUGACCAAGCAUGAUGGUAAAUCAGAGCAUCUGCUAAUUGAUGUUGAGAAAGCUGCAAGACCUAUGACAAUCAAGCAACAGAAAACACAUGACAUACCUCGUCUGUCAGAGGAUGUUGAGGAUGGGGAAGUCAUUGGUAUUAUCACACUUGAGGAUGUUUUUGAAGAACUAUUACAAGUAAGCCUAUUUCCAACACUUAUCUUGAUUUACCUGACCUUUUUCUCAGCUGCUACUCAAGAACAUAUGCUACCUGUAGUUUGAUUUCUAACUUAAUUAUUCAAUAAUUCGUGUUAACUUGUUAAUGUAAGUACCAUACUGAUAUGAAUUGUUUCUUUGUUCAAUUAUCAUUUCUCCCUAUGCAGGAGGAGAUUGUGGAUGAGACAGAUGUAUAUGUUGAUGUACAUAAAAGGUACUCUGAGAUUUUUGUUUCCAAUGCUUAUAUUUUUCACUUUCUUUAUUUGGCUAUUAUCUGGCUAUAUCAUUAAUGUGGAAUGUGCCAACUUUUUCAGAAUACGAGUAGUUGCUGCAGCAGCUGCUUCUUAUGUGGCUCGAGCCCCAUCCAAUCGGAGGCUGCCUGGCCCAAAACCUGCAGUAAGUAAAUACUAACUUCUAUUGUAAUGUUAACAGCUACUUAACUCUAGAAUAAAACUAGAACCAGUUUAUCUAGUCAAUAAAUGGGUGUCACACUAAAUCAAACAUCAAUUAGGAACUGGAUAAAUCUGGCAGAUCAUAGUAAAUACACCUUACAAAGUCCAGAAAAAUAUGCAAAGUAACUGCAAGUUGAAGAUUUGUGUUGCUCUGGUUUUUUGCUUUCAGCUAUUUAUGCGGCAUGAAAUAUUAAAUUCUAUAUGUUCUCUUUCCAAAAUCAUAAACCGCUUGCUGGGCAAAAGAUCUGGGAAGAGUAUUAUAGCAAGAAAUUUGCUGAUUUUCUCUGAUAACCAUCAUCUGGAAAAGCACACACUUUAUGCUGAUUUCUGUCAUUUGAUGUUAGCCGUAUGCUUGUUUAGCUUACUACAUAUGUUUUUUUCUUCAGGGAGCUCAAGGCAAGCAGAGCCAGACCACAAAAAAAUCUGGAGGAUGAUUUUGCUAUCAAAAAAGUGUUCAACGGAAUCCAUAAGGACCUCUUACAGGAAAAUAAGGAGGUGACUUCGCAGUUCCAUUUUAGCAGUUAAAUUGUAAAUUCCCAAGGUUUAUUUCUUUGUCAACCCAAGGCAAUGUAAAUUACCUCUUGUAAUUUUGAAACAGGGUCAAGGGUAGAUCACAGUUAAAAGUCAGGUCAUAGUUUUUACUUCUGUACAUGAAAUUUUUGUCCAUAAUGUACUAGCAGCCACGACAUAUAUGUGAAAAGUUUUAUGGAUGAGUUUCAUCUGUUGCAUCAUCCAGAAGAGUUUUGUAAGGGCAUGCUUAACAUGGUUUCUGAAAGACUGAAGCUUACUCGUCUAUAUUACCUCAGUUACGAAGUCCCCUUCUGUUAUGUAGGUCAAAAUAUGUCGUGAAGUUGGAUGUUAUCUGUAUAUAAAGUUGGCUUCAGUUCAGGCAGUGGUAGAUACAGAAAUUCGUCCGGAGCUGUAUGUAUUAUUCUCUUUAUCUGUUCCACACGCAAUUGCACAUAGAACUAAUGGGCUUACACCAUUGUGUUAGCACAUCUAUUUGAUCCCACUAGUAAAAUUAUUAGAAAGGAAUCUUAUCUGUAAAUUACUUUAAGAAAAUGUCAAUGUUCUCCUGAUUAAAACUGUACAUUCAACUGUGUUGAAAUUAAACUCUCUUAACAAUUACGAUUAAUAAAAGUUUUCAAUUAAUUCAAGUUAGAUUAAAACUUUUUCUUUUUAUCUUUUCCAGAAUGAAGACACUUUCUUUGGCACACACCUUAUAAUUAAGAUCAGUGGAAGCGACCCAAGAAUGAUUUGGUAUUCUCAUUUUGAUCUACUUGGCUUUCUUAUUUAUAAAAAUUGUGAGAAUUUAGAGUGACCUUGAAUUUGCCGCUUAACUUGCAACGUUGUAGUCAUCGGUUCGACUCGGAUAGAUAGCUGGCUUUCUAAUUUUUAUGAUGUGAAAUGUUGGGUGAGAAUGUAUGAGGGAUUUAAAGGAUGAAAAUGGGUCGGGCAAUAAUAAUAAUAUAUAUAUGUUUGAAUCAUAAAUCCUAAGAUUUUGAGUAACUAGUGGCUAACCCGUGAUCUAAAAUAUUUCUAAAGCGGGCCUAUGUCAAUUCAAAGAUGAAAUACAGAAUUACUAAUUUUCAAAAGUUUUUUUCUUUAAGGGUAUGCAUAUGGGUAUUUGUAGGAGAAAUUGGUGAAUGCCUGUCGUAUACCAGUGGCCCGAUUUAAUAAUGAAAAAAGGGAGUUUUGUGGGUUGUUUUAGCUUUAGAUUUAUACUAUAUAUAUUCAUUAGGUGGAAAUUAAGAGGUUGUUGAUCUCUUUUCUCAACGGGGUGUCAUAUCAAUUCCAUCAAGUUUAUCUAUAUGUUCAUGGGCCGAGCUUGGGCAGGCUCGAGUCGGGCCUGACUUAAUUUUGGAAAGUCUGAGCCCGUCCAAGCUCAAAGAUUUUUUAAUAUCUUUAAGUCUAAGUCCAAAUCUGAAAUUUUUUAAAAAAUUUGGCUCGAUCCGACCCGGUCCCGACAAUUAUUAAACCUGUUCUAAAUUGCAGUUACAUUUAAAUUUAAAGUUUUGUUUUAUUUGAUAUAUUAUUAAUAACAAUCAAAUUAUAAAUAGAAUUAAUAAGUAGCUAUAUAUGAUUUUUCUUUUUUUCCAACUAAACUAGAUAUCGGACUGGACCGGACUGUACACAACAAUUAUUGUCCAAACUCGGCCGGAAAACGGGUACCCAGGCCUAUGAACUGAUCUAGCCUGAAUCAACAAAAAUGUAUAAUAAAGUAAUAAUAAUAAUAAUAAUAAAUAAAUAAAUAAAUAGAUACUUAUAAUUAAAUAAUAAAUAUGAUUCAAUAUUUGAUCCAGUGGCCUCCAAUAGUAUUUUUCUUUUUGGCAAAGCCCUCCAAUAGUUUUUAAGGGCGGUGAGGAAAUGGGACAUGCAUGGAAAGAGAAAUUGAAAGAAGUUUCCUAGAAACCAACAACCACUCCUCCUGAAACACAGCAAUACUAACAUAGAAUUGAAUUUGAUAUGAAUUCCAUUUCCCAAAAUAUGCGGCCGAGAACUCCGCCAAAUGAAUUACCAAUCCAUGCAAACUCCCAAAUCCACGUCAACACCCACCACCAACAUUUUUACAUUUUACUUUGACUAAAAUGCCCUCGUUCAUUCCCUCACAAUUACCCUUCUAUCCAGUUCCUUAGCCUGCUCAGCUCUCCUCGUGUGUCGGUCCGCCCCAACUUAUUUAUACCAUUUCUCCGAGAAAUCAAAGCCAUACCGAUUCCCUACGAAGCAACGAUAAGGUCAGUCUCUUUUGUAAUUCCUUCUGUUAACAGAACUAUACAAUAACGAGAAUAAAUAAAUAAAUAAAAAGGAUAUGCAGCGCUGCUCUCUUCUCCAUCUAUUUUUUUGCUUUUCUGUUUAUUUACUGAUUCGGAUUUCCAGUGAGUGAAAUCUAAAUUAAAUUUUCUUUCUUUCUUUUUUUUGUUUGUUUGAUUGAUUGGCUGGCUGGUUUUUGUUUUCUUGCUACCAUCGAAUGCACUAGGGUUUUUCAAUUGUAUUGAAUUGUGUUUUUGUUUUAAUUAUUUUUUUAAUUGAUCAUGCAGAUUUUGUUGCUGUUAAAUAUGGGUUUCAAAACAGUUUAUCGAAGCUUAGGGGAACUGUUCCCGCAGGUAUUUUUUAUUUUAUUAAUUUAAUUAAAGGGAUUACUUAGUGUUGUGCAUGUUCUUGGCAGGAAUUCGAUAAAGUUUUGGACCUUUCAUUCGAUAUACUUCUUUUUAAAAAAGAAAAAUUAACUAGAUGAGUGGAAUCAAUUAGUUAAUUUCACUGAGCUAAUAUGUCUCUGUGUUCUCGCUCUCGUUGUGCAUAGGUUGAUUCGCGCAUUCUAAAGGCUGUUGCAAUUGAGCAUCCCAAAGAUGCUGAUGUGGCCGCUGAUGUUGUCAUUUCUGAGGUUCUUCCUUUUCUUGCAACAAUUGUUGAUAGCCCUCCUGUCAAUAGCGACCGCAAGCCUAGUGGUUUAUCAGCUGGAAGAGGUAAACACUUAAGCUCAAAUUAUUCCUUUUUAUUACAUGCAUGCAUUUUAAUGGGUUUUGCUCGACCUUUUAUUCUAUUGGUUAAAUUUUGACUUAUGAAUGAUGUGCAGCUGAACAUGAGGAACAUAUCAAUACUUUGAGGAGUGACCAAGUUGAUUUGGGGAAAACUGUAGGUGAUUCUUUGGAAUCAAACUCGAUAGACAAAGCAUGUACCUGUAAAACUGAUCUAGGAAGUUCUGGACAUCCUUCUGGUUCAACUCAUCAAGAAAAGUCAGAGAAUUCAACUGCCCCAGUGUCUGUUGACCUAAAUGCUGAUACUAAUCAAUUGGAAGGAUGUAUUGAAAGUGAGGAACUAAUACUGUUGGUGAGACCUCAACAUCAAGACAAUGUUCAAUCUGUUACAAGUCAGACUUCUGAACUCGUAUCAAGUGCUUUGCCUUGUGAAGAAAUUACUGACAGCAUUCAAGUAUGUGGUACUAUGGAAACUAAGGUGCCAGCUUCAUUGGGUAAAUGUCAAGAUGAUAACAUUACGGUUGGAGGCAAGCAAUAUUUUCAAGUCAUAUCAACUAGUUUGACACAGGAGAAUGGUGAUUUUACUGGCGAUCAGGGAGAGUGGAAAGGUUCUGAUGGCCCUUUGCCAGAUGAUUUUGAUACAAGUGGGAAAAUCUCUCAAGUAGUGUCAUGUGUAGAUGGAGGGAAAAGCCCUCGAGUUGAGCCAUGUGUAGAUGGCACUGAUUUGGAAGUGGACAAUUCUUUGGUUGAAAGAACACCCAAUGCUGCUGAAGUUGAUUUUCAAUCAGAAUUAUCUGGCACUCCCACUAAUAGUUGUAAGAAUUUGAAGUUCAAUCAAGACAUUAAGAUUGAUUUUCUCGAAGAUAUUGUUGAAGCUGCUAGACACAACAAGGUAUUUUCUCAAAUACUUAGCACUACUAGGGAAAGUUCAUGUGAUGCAUUGUGCUAAUCUGGUAGUUUAAUGCACGACUUGAUUGGUAGUUCCAUCAAUACAUUAAUCUAUAUGUUCUCAUGUCUAUAAGUUAAUUGGUGAAAUGUACUGAAACUAUGCAUAUGUGAUUCAUACAGCUUCCCUUCAUUCAUACAAUAUGAGGUAUGAUGUUGAUUAUAUAUUCCUAACUAAUGACAGAUCUGCAUUCCUUUGUUGGCUGAUGAUGCAGAGAACUUUGUUUUUAUCAAUGGAGUCAAUAAUGAAUAUGAUGAGAAAAGUUGAACUUCAAGAGAAAGCUGCAGAAGAUGCCAAAGAGGAAGCCUCUAGUGCAGGUUUAGACAUUCUAACGAAGGCGAACGAACUUAAACAGAUGCUGGAACAUGCAAAGGAUGCAAAUGACAUGGUAGUUCUAUUGUAUUUAAUAAUUGGGUCGGAUAUAAUUACAUAUUGGUUUGCUAUAUGGCUCUUUGAGAGGACCAUGCAAUUCAACCCUUUUUAAUUGCUUAUACAGCAUGCAGGGGAAGUUUAUGGUGAGAGGGCAAUUCUAGCCACUGAAGUGAGGGAGUUGCAGGCUCGGCUUCUCAGCUUGUCUGAUGAAAGAGACAAAGCUCUUGCAAUUAUUGAUGAGGUAUUCAAUAUAACCGUUUCUUAUUUUCACAGCGUAUAUGUAAAAAAUGAUUCCCUCCCCAACCCCAGCCCUGCCCCCAUAAUUAUUUCUAGCUUCAAGCUGUUACAGUUGUCUGUUAGUCAUUUCCAAACACAUUUUUUCUUUUGAAUCAACCCAAGUCCUUUUCAGGUAGAUGUGGUAUAGUGAGAUAAUUUUAAUAAUUCUUUAAGAAAUUAACUCUUGCAUUUAUUGUAAAUAUUUAUUAUAUUAUAAUAUGUAAUUAUAUUAAAUUAUAUUAGUAUUAAAGUAUUCAAUUAUAUAAUUAUGAUUAUGAUUUAUUAUUUUUUAAUAAUUAUUUAAUUUAAUAUAAUUUUUAUAUACCCAACUUAAACCUUUAGCCACAAUCUAGUUGUUGGACUAUGUGGAUCAGUAUUCCUUAGGAUGACCUUUAACCAAGGAUUUGAAGUUGCUAACUUCUUUUCUAUUAUUCCACCUUACAUCAUCCUAGUUCUAUCCUCUGUCUUCCCUUCUUCUGCGCACACGUCAUCAACUUGCAAACAAUUCUAUAUAUUUGAUACACCAUUUUGCUUUGCAAUCUUAUGCUUGAUGAGGUGCAUUUGGUUCAUUUCUCGCAGUACACCAUUUGAGAUGGUAGAAUCGUUAAAUGGUCAAUUACUUGGGAGUAUAUCUCUGAAAAUCUGAUCACUGUAGCGCAAUAAGUCAUGUGUUUAGAUUUGAACAUUGGCUGGAAUAAACGAAAUGUAGAAGGCUGCAUGGUUGUACUAAGAUUAUUAUGUAUGUGAGCAAACAUGUUGCUUAUUUUUUAAGUAAAUGAAUCUUUUCAUAGAUGCAUCAAUCCCUUGAAGAACGACUAGCUGCAGCAGAGGAGCUGAAGAAAGCAGCUGAGAAGCAGAAGCUGGAACAGGAAGAAGCUGCACGGAAUGCUCUUGCUGAACAAGAAGCCAUCAUGGGUCAGGUGGUGCAGGAGUCCAAGAUCAUACAGCAGGAGGCAGAUGAGAAUUCUAAGGUUGCCGCUAGUUGCUUUAGUGUAAUCUCUAGUGAUGUGAGGUGUCAACCAAGUUAGAACAAUUAUUUUCUAACUAAUAUAAUUUUGCUUUACUGCAGCUACGGGAGUUUCUUAUGGACCGUGGUCGUGUUGUUGACACAUUACAGUAAGUCUUUCUUUAACUAUUCAAAUAAUCUGUGUUUUUGCAUUACAUAGUUAUUCUAACAUUUAUACGGACAGAUUUUUCACAUUAUUUUGGUUGCACUGGAUGUCACUACUAUUUUUCUUAAUUUGUACCCUAGAGAUCCAUCAAUGAUACUAGUUGCCUGUAAAUAAUUUUUAAAAUUUUGGCAGAUUGCAUCAGUUGCUCAUGUAAUUUACUAUUCCUAUUUGAACUAGAGGCAAUGUAAUUUUUCAGGUCAUUGACUUACUUCAUCAAUGGUCAUUAAAGGUUUUACAUAUUAAUAGCACAGCACCUAAUAAAACAUGUAAAUAGUAAUAUAAGCAGUUCUAAACUCUUGGGGCUAACAAAUAUUCUUCCUCUGUCUGUUAUUUGCUUUGUAUUUUUUAAAGUUUUCGUCUCCAUUAUGCGCUCUAACUUGCAGUUCUUGUGGUACCAAACAAAAUGCUACUACCAUUAUGAACUUUUGCCGAAGACUAUUAGCAAUUUUUUUUCAUGCUGUCUGUAUAAUACAAACAUGGGUUGAUGGAACUUUUGUACAGAUGGUUGGAAUGAUAUUUGUUGUUCACGUUCUUGCAGAGGAGAAAUUUCUGUGAUCUGUCAGGAUGUAAGAUUGCUGAAAGAGAGAUUUGAUGAGCGCAUUCCAUUGAGCAAGUCUAUUUCCUCGAGCCAAACCAGUUGCAUCUUAGCCUCUUCAGGCUCAUCCAUUAGAAGCAUCGCAACUGAUCUGGUUCCUGAACCAAGGGAGACAUCUAAGAGCCUUAAAGAUAGAAGCCUAACACCCUCUUCUAUCGAUGGCCGCUCACCGACGAGCCCGACAACCUCCUCUUUUAUUGAUGGCCGGUCACCGAAGAGCGGACUAAAGGAAGAGAGGACGAAUGGUGAAGUGGCGUCGGAUGAUGAUUGGGAGAUCUUUGAAUGACUCAGAAAUCUAAAGCUAAGCUACGUAAAUGGGUAGAAGUAACUCUUUAAUAGGAUUCCAUACAGGUGACACUGGAAUAUUAAUUUUAAUUUUAAUUUUAGCUUAGGUUAAAGCUUUUUCGCUGUCGAUUGAGUUUUGCAGCUCAGACGUGGAUAGUAGCUACUCUAUUUUUGGAUUUUUUAUAUUGUAAAUGGCUUAUUAAAUAAAAGUAUGGAAUCAAUAUAUUUAGUUACUUGAAUCAAAUUACCUCUUGCCUUUCCUAUCACCAUUUUAUUUUUUCAGACAAAAGAAUAUGGCUGCAAAUCAGGCUAAAUUAAAAGAAUCAACAUUUUUAUAAUUCUUUUAUAAUAAUUCAUUUUAAAUUGUUUCUUAUAAUAUUUUUUUAGAUGAAAAUAUUAUAAUACAAUUUAAGAAACAAACCGUAUAAAUAAAAUAUUUUCAUAUUUUAAGUCAUAUAGAUUUAAAAUAAAAUUUUGUAUCCUAAUUUUUGUAUAUAUAAUAUUAAAAAUCCUACAAUUAAGUAAGAUUUUACAUUGGAGUGGUAUCAUGGCCCUCUCUUAACUGCAACUGCCUGAGGUUAGUGUGUGACUACGGUGAACGAAAAAAAAAAUUACUAAUUAAUUAGAAAUUUUGUACUUUUAGAUAAUUUUAUUUAAUUAUUUUAAAAUUUAAAGUAACUAUUUAUAUUUUUAAAAAUAUAUUUUCGAUAAUAAUUUUUAAAAAUUUUACACUAAAAAAUUAAUAUGUCAAAUUAAUUUUGCUAACUAACAUAAAAAUUAGUGAGUUAAUAAAAUAUUUAUUAUAUUUAGAUAUAAAACAUUUGUUACAUUUAGAUAUAACAUACGUAAUAUUAUUAAGUUUAGUAGAAAUUAUUUUUGUUGAUUCAUAAUUAUUAUUUAGUAACUAUAAUUGAUUUUCUAUGUUAUUUUGUUUACGUAAAAUUAUAAAAAUUAUAUUAGAAAAUAUUUUUAAAAAUGAAUUAAAAAAACAGAUAUUUAUUUUAAAAUUUUAAAAUAAUCAAAUAAAUUUAUUAAAAAAUAUAAAAUUAACAAUUUAAUUAAUAAUUAGAGAAAAAUAAAAUAACAAUAAUGUGCCACAAGCAGUCAUGUCACAAAUAACAAUUCUCUCACCCGAUAAAAUUAAUAGUAACCAAAUCAUAUCCAUUUUAGAGUCCAAUUACGUUUUCCUUAUCCCAUUUAGUUUCUCAAGUUAAGAUACGAUGCUUUAAACGUCCAUUCUCAAUUACAUGCAAUCCGCGUUUGUGUUAAAGAGUUGUAUUUUCACAUCAUACUCAUCCAUUAUCCUAAUCAUAUUAUGAAAUCCUAAUCCGAUUAUGUUCCCUUCUUCUGUGAAUCAGAUUCCUAUAAAUAUGGGCCUAACCUCUUCCUCUUUGAUCAUCCACAUUCUAUUCUCCCUUCAAUUUUUCAGUCUCUGAUCAUCAUCUAGUUCUCUUUGUUUUUAAUUAUCUUUUUCCAAGAAAAGAGAAAAGAUGGUGCUUGAUCUUUCUCCUAAGUUGGCUAAAAUGGUCUGUGGGGGCAAUGGUGGCUCCUACUCUGCGUGGUCACCCACUGAGCUUCCCAUGCUACGACAAGGAAAUAUUGGUGCUUCCAAACUUUCUCUUCUCAGGAACGGCUUCGCCCUUCCUCGUUACUCUGAUUCUUCCAAAGUUGCUUAUGUUCUUCAAGGUAUAGAGCCUUUUGCUCUCUCUGUUUUACUUGUUAAUCCUUUCUUUUCUUAUAAGGUGCUUUCAAAUUGUAAGUUUUAGCUUGAUCUGUUUUCUCUAAAUAAUUAUGGAUUUUGUUAUGUUUAGGUAGCGGUGUAGCAGGAAUUGUCCUACCAGAAUUAGAAGAAAAGGUAGUUGCAAUCAAGAAAGGUGAUGCAAUUGCACUUCCGUUCGGUGUAGUUACAUGGUGGUAUAACAAAGAAGACACAGAACUUUUAGUCCUGUUCUUGGGUGAUACCUCAAAAGCUCAUAAAUCAGGUGAAUUCACUGAUUUCUUCCUUACUGGUUCUAAUGGCAUCUUCACUGGCUUUUCCACGGAGUUUGUUAGCCGUGCAUGGGACUUGGAAGAAAAUGCUGUUAAUACCCUAGUCCAAAACCAAUCUGGCAAUGGAAUCGUCAAGCUGGAAGAAAAUUUCAAGAUGCCUGAACCCAAUAAAGCACAUAGACAAGGCAUGGCAUUGAACUGUGAAGAAGCUCCUCUUGAUGUUGAUAUCAAGAAUGGAGGUAGAGUUGUGGUCUUGAACACCAAGAAUCUUCCUUUAGUUGGUAAAGUUGGGCUUGGUGCUGAUUUGGUUAGAUUGGAUGGAAGAGCAAUGUGCUCUCCUGGCUUCUCCUGUGAUUCUGCUCUUCAAGUCACAUACAUUGUUAGAGGCAGUGGUCGCGUUCAGGUUGUUGGUGUUGCUGGUCGUAGAGUCCUGGAAACUACUGUCAGAGCAGGCUGUUUGUUCAUUGUUCCAAGGUUUUUCGUCGUUUCGAAGAUUGCUAAUCCUGAAGGAAUGGAAUGGUUCUCUAUCAUUAGUACUCCUGAUCCAGUUUUUACCCACUUAGCUGGAAGGACUUCAGUGUGGAAGGCAUUGUCUCCUGAAGUUUUGGAGGCAUCAUUCAAUGUUGAUUCUGAUGUAGAAAAGCUUUUUCGUUCGAAGAGGACCAGCGAUGCCAUCUUCUUCCCUCCACCAAACUGAAGCAGCAACAGCAGCAGCAGGGUCAAUUCUACAUUGACUAGUCUUUAAAAUCUUUAAUCAGUUUGGUUGUUAAUAGAUUUACUUCAAUUUUAUAAGUUAUGCAACUUGUGAUACUACUUCCACAAGUAAAUAGAUACAUACUAUAGUGAUUAUAAUUUUUCAUAUUGUUUCUGUGAAUUUCCCUUUCUUGCACUCUUAUUCUUAAUAUCCCAAUAGUUACUGGUAACUACUCUAGCCAACCCAUGUGUGUAUACUUCAGAAACCUUAAAGGCACAGAAAACUGGGAAAAGCUCAAAUAAAUGAAUGUUACUGGAUCUAUUCUGAUAUGUUGCAAAUGGUGGGAAUUAAAUGAUCCUAGCCUAGCAAGCAGCAUUGCUCCCGAUGGUGCAAGAGAUUAUGCACCCAGAAUUCUUGAUCUCAGUACUCAAAAUGUUCUUAGAGUUGUAUAAUCAAAAACUUGUAAAUCAAGGAUCAAUAUCCUCCUGCAAGAUUGUUAAGAGAUCUCGUAAUAAGUGCAGUUCAGCAAAAAGUUAAUGAUAGUUUUAAAAGAAACCUGAAAAUAGCUUCAAGGGGCUUAAUGUACAAUGUGCAAAAUCAUCAGUUUUUGAUUCUAUGUUACAUGUAUUUCACACAUAAAACACUCCUGGAAAACCUAAGUUUUGUCUACUUUUCUGUAAGAAGAAAUCUGCUAAAUUAUUACACUAUACACUGAUCCUGAUCCACCCUUCAUUUUCACCAUCUAAGCUUCUUCCGAUUCCUGUAAAGUUAGUAACUUUAAGGACUGAAUCCCAUAAUUCACACUCAUCAAGCCUCCAUCAAUGAUGCUUUGACCCAUAAAGAAAAGGAAAAAAGAAAAAAGAGGACUAAUCAUGCCAACACAGAAGCAUGACAGUACAUCUCCAGAUGAUAUAAAGCCUUGUUCUUUGCUCUCUAAUUUGCUUUGAACACCUGUGCCAUGACCUUAUCUUCAUGCUCCUUGUUGAGAAUGCACUUGAUGCCAUUAUAUUGAACUGUAAUUUAAAGGGGCUAAAAUGAGCAGCCGCGUUUUGAGUGAAGAAGUUGAAAAUAGAUGUUGAAAUUGAGAGUUAUAGCUUGAAAAAUUCCUCAAGACUCAGAAGCCAUUUUAUAUAAGGAGGAAAUGAGAGCAGAAGAUAUAUGUUAGAAAAAAAUUUGUGGUGAGUGACAAUUCCUGGCUACCUGGUUGGGCCCAUGGGGCCCAAGAUAUAAAGAUGACAAGGCAAAUGCUAAUAGCUUGUCUCCCUGCCAAACCAACUUGAUAAGGACCAGUCAUCAACUUCACUCUUGAGGGGUCAUCCUUGUAGGGUAUGUGGACCCUCAUUCAAUGCAUUAUGCAUAUUAUACAACUCCAUCUCAGUUAAUUUUGGACUUUAGUUUAUUGUUUAAUCUUUGGACCAACUAAAAUAUAUUCCUCCUAAAAUCAUACCAUACCCAAAAAUCAUUAUCAUUUUUUUGGACAAAUAUGAAGAGAGGUGUUAUUAUAUUCUUUUGAUAAAUUUUAAUUGAACUCUCUUUGAAAUGGUAUUUUAUCAAUUUGAAGUUAUUACCUAACUUAUAAUUGGCACUAUAGUGGGAUGUUUUUUGAAUAAAUCUUAGUUGUUAAAAUAUGCAUUUUUAUAAUCUGGCCAUGGCCUAAAAGUAUUACUAGCGCUGGGCUGUCAAUCUCACUUUUAAUGGGAUAUUACAAAGUAUUUAAAUUUAACAAGGAAUUUUACUUUUUUUUGAAAGAGAAAUUUAACAGAGAAUAAUAUAUAUACACACAAUAGUAAAUUAGAGAACAAUUUACUUUUAUUCUGCUAUUAAGCAUGGUAGAAUUCUCAAUCGGGUAGUUGACAAAUUUUAAUAAUUAAUGCUAUAAUUAAAAAAUAUAACUAAUAUAUAUAUAUAUAUAUAUAUAUAUACCUAGCAUUUAAGAUUUUGAAAGUGUCAUGAGGCAACAAUAAUUCCACUGAACAAGUCUUAUGUCCUAAUCUUUAAUUUAUUUUUAUAGAUUAAGCAUUCUUUGGUAUAUAUAUGAAAGGUUCAACUUAUUUAAAUAAAUGUUGUUAUCAAACUUGUUAAUCAUGUUAUGGGUAGUUGACCAGUGAUGAACUAUGGCAUUGAUCAUAAAGUGACCCUAUUCAAAUGCAAGAUUAGGUACCCCUAAACAAAUGCUUAGCAUAAUAAUAACAAUUAAUGACUCUCCCGUGACUCAAAUAGUCAGUUGGAAUGAGAAAUUAAAUUGUUUAUAUCAAAAACUCGUAAUAUAUCAAGUCAUAUUUAAGAUUGUAAAGUCUCUAAUUCGAACCUAAUUAAGUCAAUUAAUAAAAUAAAAUAAAAUAAAAUAAAAAAAACUCAUAUUGUAUGAAAACAUUAUUUUCUUUUUAUUCUGUACUAUUUCCAUUUAAAUGUAGUCAUCUCAACACUUAAUCAAGAGGGAAAAUAUUGGGAUUCCUACAAUCUUUGCCACUACCACCUGGGCUUAACUAUAAGAAAAUCUUGUUAUUAGGGAAACAUUCUAUGUAUUGAUAGUAACAAACACCUCUCCUUCUUUUGUUAUUUAUUAUUACUGAGAGUUUAACAUACCUUAGAUGUUACAACAGGGAGCAUAUAUUGUACAUAAGAAUGACAAUCAAAUGAGCCUUCAAUUCAUUUUGAAUCAUAACUUAAACAGGAGACAGCACGAGUAUAUGACAAAGAAACUUCAAGAUCUUGUCACCCAAUUACUGUUGCCACUUGUUGAAAUUUCAUAUCAAUACUUAAAUGACUUGUUUCUUCUUUCUGCUUGGACAAGCACCAAUAGCCAAUCAAUUCACACAUCACACAUAUCUAUUCCUGAAGUUUAAAAGACAGAAAGAAAAAAAGAAAACUCAAAAUUGACACUUCACUAUCAAUUUUGACGUAAAUUUUAGAGUAAAUAUUUAAAAUUUGGAGUUGGCAGUUAGAAAGAAAACAGCAUGGAUAUGACCGUAAACAUUAAUAGCAUUAGCAUUAGCAAGAGAGGCGACAGGAAGAGGGAAGUGCAGCCCUGGUAGAGUCCAUAAGCAGGUGCAACCUGUCCGAGAGAAGUUAAACCCAUGUACGUAGUCCUAUUCAAUCCAACAUGCCCACCACUUAUCAUUGCCGGCCGUGGCAAACUCAUUUAUAAUGCUCAACUUUACUCUUAAUUUUUAUGGUGGUGCUGAGUGCCCCUAUUCUGUUAUGUCCUUCUCACCAAUACUUCCCGUCUUUUGACCUUGUUUCCUGCUCGACACGCGGGCUCCACCAUCUUUCGACUUUCUGUCCUCAGAUCCGUGACACGUGCCCUCUUGGGUCGUUCUCUUUGGGUCUUUAGCCAAUCAGAUUUUAGAUUUUAGCCCCUGUCCACGUGCUUCACUGUGUCCCUGUGUUGGGCUAAAGUUUAGCAAGAGGGAAGGUUCUUUUGUUGUGAACCUUAUCUGAAUUCAAGCAAAAGAGUAGCUUUAAACCAGGACAUGAUAAGGUUCAUAUGGUGGAAUUUCGUGACAAUAUCUAAGAUAAGUUUACAAUCAUACAUACAGGUGCUGGGUAUAAUUGUUUAAAAGGAACCCAUAAUUACUUAAUUUUCAAUAUUGGUAAUUCUUUUAAAAUAAUUACGAAUAUUUUUUAAUUCACAUCAUAUUUUAUUUUAAAUAAUUAAUGGAUUGCGGACUUUAGAAUAGACAUAAUUACUUAUAAAGGUGAUAAAUGAAAAUACACGAAUUAAGUCACACAAGUAUAUUAGUCCAUGAUUAAAGGAGAGCUUGACUUUUGUGAUUAGUAGUUGUUACAAUAUCGUAAUGUAAUAAACAAAAACUUUGGUUCAGAAACUUUGAUAUAUUUUUUUAUAAGUAAAUAGAAUCCAAGUUAUGAACAAAUUCAGAUUUUAUUUAAAAUCAAAUUAUAAUUUUUUCAGAAAAAAAAAAAAACAAUAAAAAGAAGUUAUCAGUCUGGAAAAUAGAGUGACUGUCCACAGCUUAAGGCAGUCAACCAAGGAUGGGAAAUGUUUGACCAUUUAAACAGGAGAAAUGGAGUUCAUGAAUUAAGACCCUACCAUACAAUACAAUGGAAGACAACGGAGAUGAUUAGGAAAUGCGCACGUGGGUAGCAACAGAAUGUUUCAACAAUGUCAAAUUUCAUUUCAAUUCACUCAAAAUCCAACCUGUCGGGAUAACAUUUCUUCAAAAGCCAAACUUCUAUUUCUCCUUUUGUUUUUUUAUCAGAAAAAUAUCAGAGUCUGAAGCUAUUCAAACAAAUAGCAUUUCAUUAUUUAUUUCUCACUGUAGAUGAUAAAUAUAAAUUCUGGUAAUAUUAGUAAAUAUGAUAUACAAAAAAAUUCAAAUUCAAAUUCAAAUUUCUAUAAUAAUUGAAAACACUAAUUAUUUUAAUUUAAAAUUUUUAAAAUAAUAAACAUUAUUUUAGAAUUUUAAAGAUCCCAAUAACAUUAACAGUCAUUUGCUUUAAGCCUUGGAGUCAUUCUACAAUUCAAAUCAAUUAAAUAUCAACUAAUAAAGAUAACUGAAAGUUUCAAGGUUUACAACACUCCAUACUAGCAACUUAGUAGCAAACAAACUAUCUACACCAACUGAAUUAUACAUUUUGCUCUAAUCUUUUUCAGAUUUUUAUUUUCUAACCUAUAAACAAACUCAUACAAAAACGUGGAAGUUCAUCAAUCCUGAUAUAUAAUACUAACUCAAAACCAAAGUUGCUUAACCAUUCAAACGCUGUACACCCUGUGUCCUUUAUUGAAUUUGUUCAUGGCAUAUUUUCCCACGACUAUUUUUCCAGGGCUUUCUUGAUUUCAUCCUGUUCCCAAAAACAAGAAAGAUGAGAGUGUUUUCAGAGUAACAUUGUACAUGUACACCCAACACAUAUAGAGAUACAUCCCAAAACACACAGAGAGAGACAGAGAUGAAGAACCUCAAUGGACAAAGGACUGGUGGUUGGUCCAUAUCGGUUGAUGACUUGCCCAUCCUUACUGACUAGAAACUUCGUAAAAUUCCAUUUUAUGCCAGACCCCAUAAAUCCAAAUUUGCUUGCCUUGAGGAACUUGUAAACAGGCGCUGUAUUUGCCCCAUUGACUCGAACCUAAAUUUAACAGAUUUGAGCAUCUAGCAUUAGGAAGAGCAAUCGCGAAGUGGAACAUAGAUACACAUAGUUGAAGAUAGCCAGUUAACAUGCAGUGGAAUUUACAGGGGCAUGAAAAGAACAAUGAGACAUCAAUUACAGAUGCAGUUAUUUUGAACUCUUCUUAGACUUAAAUUUGAAUUGUUGAUGACCAAAAAGGAUAUCUAAGAAUAAAAAAUAAAAAUCAAACUAAAAAGAAAUAUUUUUGCGCACCAUCUCUAUUAUUGUGCAUACUGAAUUAUCAACGGCUUCUUCUAUUAUUUUAAAAUUUCACUUUCAGAUACUCGAACAGCCUUCAUUCUUUACCACUAUCAUCACAUUAUAAACAAAAAUCCAACAUGCAUAACAGAUGCUCCACUCAAAGAUUACAGUUUAAACAAUGGACAAGGCUUCUAAACCCACUUAAUAUAAUCAAAGUAGUGGUCAGGUUGAAUAUGAAAGGACAAGUUUCCAAGGAGCCAAGAAGGGUCGUAACCAAUCACUUCAUAAUAUGUAUCCAACCUAGCUCUCAAAGGCACCAUAAAUCAUGGAACUGGCAACUCAAGGUAUUCCUUCCAAGACAUCAUAGAUCAACAGGUUGUACGCUUAAUAUGAUACAAAAUUUUCAGAAAUCCUGUUAAUCCUAAAUACAUGGGCAGUAGGGAAUGGAAGAGUUAAACCACCACUUCCCAACUGCAGAAGCAAUAACAACGACUUAGUCGCCAUUAUUAUUUGCAUAACUCGCUUAGAUUUAUAAAUAAAUAUUCAGGCAUCUCACUGACCACAGUGCCAUAAUAACAAGCUAUGGUAUCAAAUUAAAGAGCAUCCAGAGAAGCAAAAGUAUUAAAAACUAAAACUGGAUAAAAAUAUUAUCUGAGAUGAACAAAUUUCUUGCAGCUACUGAUAACCAGACAAGGACAAGUCCGUGCCAAUUAUUUUAAACUCAACUUGAUAACCGGCAUGCCAAACAUCCUUUGUAAAUGUAGCAUUUAACCUUUUAGAAAUUAACUCCCUCCUAAUAAUGAAAUUGGAGACUUAAGCUAGCAUCAAAUAAUUUAGCUAAUUUAUUAAAACAAAACUUAUGGUCGAUCUGUCAAUAGAUAUUAUUGCACCAAAACUGGGUAAGAAAACAGAAAACUCAAUGUACGUUUCCAAAAGAUACGAGUACAGCACAAGCAUGUGCAAAGAGAACAUAUAUAAAACUGUGAAUGCCUUUCUCUCCCACUAUGGAGAACAUCAAUUACAAAUAAUUGUGUCUGGCAUUUAAGUGAAUAAAAUCGACUUUAAAGAAAGAAAAAUAACAUAGCCUUGUUAGGUUACUUCGGUAAAGACACAAGAAAUUAUAAAUUUAUCUUGUUAAAUAACUAAUGGAAACAGUAUCAAACAACUGAACUCGAAUACCUUUUGGAAAAUAGGAUAUUCAGCCUUGUAUCGUGUACAGGCAAAUUCUUGUGCUUCUUCGCUUGAUCCAGGCUCUUGUUUCAGGAAUUGAUUGCAUGGAAAUGCCAAAACUUCAAAACCUGAAAUUAUCCAAUAAUAUGUGUUCUCAACAAGCAAAAAAAUAAAAGAAAAUAAAGACCAUGGCAUUGUUGUUCUAAAAUCAGAAUAUGGUCAAACUUCAUUACUAUCAACAAAGUUUGGGUCCUAGAAAGCAGAAUCUGGGUUCCACUUUUCAACAUUUUGCAUAAAGUGGAAGCUCAAAAAACUUUAACUUGCACCCUCGCAAUCGCAAGCUCAAAACUUUACCAAUUCACCAAGCAAUGGGCUCUCCAAAUGGGAAAAGUUGAAAAACUUAAAAAAAGAAAGCAUAUUAAUGAAAAUAUUUCGGAUUUUAAACUAUUAAGAAUGACGAUAAAUGUGGUGAUUCUUUUAUCUAGACAAGGGCUUACUUGUGAAUCCUGAUCGCACUGAAAUUAAAAGAAAAAUGCGUCUGCCCCAUUUAUACUCAUAUACUCCUUAUCAAAACUGAGAUCAUAUAUUAGAAGCCAUUUAGAGAUUCAACCAAGAAAAUAUCAAUGCGAGUGCCUUUAAUCAUGCUCUAAAGUAAUAGUUUGCAUAGUUUCCUCCUUUCACAAUGGGUAGAAACACAGAAGAAAAAACAAAAAUGAAGAAACAGAUACAAUUAGAACACAAUUCAACAGGGAGAGGAGAAAGAAAAAGACGGAGAGAGAUUAGGCAUGCCUACAGAUACAAUAUUCAAAAGGAUAAAAACAAAAAUGGAGGAAAGAGAAGUAACAAUACCUUGGUCCUUAUACUUGUUAUAAAGAUCAGUUAACUGGGUAUAAUUAGUAUCUGUAAAUCCACUGCCCAAAAAAUAACAAAAAAAAUAUUCAGGGCUUUCCAAUUCCAAAGCAAAUAAAUAAAAGAAAAAGAAAACAAAUAGUAAAGAGAAAAACCAUUUGGAGGCCACAUUAACGACAAGAAGAACUUUUCCUUUAUAGAUACUGAGGUCCACAUCCUGACCUCUGGCAUCCUGAACAUCCCAAAAGCCGUCAACACAUGAUUUGCAAUGUAAGUAAACAAUUUGGAAAGAAGAAGAAGAAGAAGAAGAAGGAGAAAACGAAGGAAAAGAGAAAACCUUGACAGUGAAUUCAUGGAUAGAUUUUUCUGGAACUGAUGGAGAAGCCCCCAUCUUGAAACCGAGAGAGGGACUGACUAGAAACAGCCAAAGAAACUUCCUUUGUAUUAUUGGGUUGGUGUUGUGAUUAAUCUACAGCAAUUCCCUUAUGAUGGAAACUGUCAACUUUUGUUUUUCUUUUUUUCUUUUUUAUCAAAGGUUUUGUUGUUUGUGAUUUGAAUGUGUAAUAAAUGUGGGGCAAGGGUGUAAAGAGGUUAAUAUAGUAAUAGCUCUAUGAUAAUAUGAUACAUUUCAGCCAUAACUUUCUCUGGAUCCCUGAUUUCCUGAGCUGGCAUUUUUAUCCAAUUAAUUAUAAAUAUAUAAAAUAGCUUCCUGUCUUUUUUACAAUUACACCCUUUUGUUUUCUUGAAUUAUACACGCAAUUUUAUCUAUGUUUAGGUCCAGCCACUUAUUCAGGAAACAGCCUGUUAUAAUAGUAGUUAUGAUAACAAGAGCAAAAGUGAAAAUGACAAAACACAACCAUACCAUUUUUUACCAAGUUAUGUUUUUAUUUAUACAAAAACGAGUCUAUUUUCACAACAUAAAAUGCUAAAGUUACAAAAAAAGUGUUACUUGUGUCUAUUAAAGAACACAUGCUGGCACUAACCGGCUAAUAAAAUGAAAAUUUUGAAAACUAGUCCACAGAGGGCACACCACCAACCAAAUGUCAAAAUGAUGAGCCUACUUUCUACCACUCAAUUUGCACCCAACCACAUUGUUGAAUUUGAAUGAAUUCCUCCCAGCUAGCAGAACAUGGUGUGACAAGGACAAUUUGCUACCAUCUUACUCGCAAUUCCCAUUUAACAUUUCAGACCAUAUUCUCAACUGGCUCUUAACUGAACACACUACACUUUCACAUUCGCACCUCCCAUGGGUUACAGUACAUCCACACAAACCAUUCUACCCGCAGUCCCCAUGCAAGACUGUGCUAUUGUAUCAUGUCAGAACGUUCAGAUUCUAAAUAAAAAUAUAGAAACUUUGUUUUCCAGCGUUACAUUCACAACAAAAUGAUAGUUGAAUGCCUCUCAUUCUGAAUUCUGAUCCAGCUGAGCCCAAAAAUUCUUCCACUAUAGAUCAAACGAAAAUUUUUACAGCAAAAAAGGACCGACUAUUUAAAGAAGCUAAAAGUUGUAACAAAUGGCCCUGCGAAAAUUUUGAUGGAAUUCCUAGGAGGCCUUUCAACAAAUAAUAAUAUGCUAGGGUAAAGAAAAGAAAAAUUGAAAAUUUGAUACAUGACAGCCUAGAGUUAGGUUACAGCUCUCCCAGAACUCCACAAUGACUGUCUUGCAGCCCUCUGCAUUUGCAAAGUCUAUAAAAUACAUAUAUACAACCCAAUGAAGCAUACGUGAUGACAUCUUGGGAGCCAAAUCCUCUGUAUGAUGAACUAUCCUGUGAAGAGCAUUGAGAACCGACCCAGAUAGACUUCUCCUUCAAACAAGCCGAGAAGCCAGAUAAAAAAAAAAAAAGGGAUUCUGACAAAUAUAGACCAGUGUAUAAAUUAGAAGUGAACAAACAAUUAACAAACCUGUGCGUUAAAAAGAAAUGUAUAGAUGCAAUACUGCACCUAUCAACAUGAACUUACCAAUUCCAGCUAUGUAGUACUAUUUACUCAUCUCGGCCGCCAAAUGCCUGGCCCUGAAAUGCAAGAUGUAUGAAAUGUGAUUUAUUUACCUGAGCAAAAUAGGCCCAAUCUUUCUAAUGCCAGACCUAACCAUUAUGAAAUAAAGCAUAUAUCCACAAAAAAGAAAGGUGGAAACAUGAACAUCAUAGGUCCGGAAAAAACUAUAUUUUCAAAAUGAGAACAUCCCCACAGAGAAAGAAAAACAGAACACUGACCUCUAUUAGAAACUGGAACUGCAUCAGAAGGUGGUCUAAAAGGCAUGAAGUUCCUGUGAUGCAUAUCCUGAGAAGGGUACGACCAUCCUUGAUGCGGCAUUCUAGUUGGCUCUCGUGGGGGGCCACCAUAUGGACCUCGUGGGUAAGAUGCUCUCGAUUUGUCAGGAUACCUUGGGCCUAGAGUAGGGAUAAAGAAGUUGGAAAUAAAAUGCAAUUAUUACUACCAUUGUACAGAAUAACAUUUUCACAUAACUAAAUUCCCUAUAAACUUUCAUGUUAGGAAUAACCUUACCAGGAAAGGGGGGUGGAGGAUAUCUCCAACUCUCAUCAUAUGGUGCUGGUCUCAUUCUCUCGUGGUUAUUGUAAUAAUUACCCCCAUCAGUAUUAUGAGAUGAUUGGUAUCUGUGGUGGUGGGAAGGAGGUGGGCUUGCUCUCCGAGACUUCACAUGCUGACCAGCCUGAACAUAAGAGAAUUGAUUUGAAGGCGGAUGAUGUGGUGGCCUUGGAGCAUAAGCUUUAUGAUGAAAAUUAGGACUAUCUGCGUGUUGGACAUUGUUCACUGGGCAUGCAGGGUAACUGCUGAAAGAGCUUGUUGAAUCGCAAAGCUGCAUCUGCAUCUGAUCCCUACAUUCAGUAGCAUGGUAAUGCACCCCAUCGGUUAUUGAAGAGGUGAUUCUUGGUGCUGCCAGCGGCUGAGCCACUGUUUCUCUCAAGUCGUCAUGCAUGUACUGUAAAUUUCAGCUCAAUCAGAAUAGAUGAAGCGCACACAGUAUUCCUCUCUACACUGAAUCAGUAAAGGAAAAAUGCUAUGUAGUAUAAGCACUCACAUGUGAAUUUGUAUAAAGCUUUGAAUCAACACCGUUAACAUAGGGGUCAGGCAUUCCACUUGAAGGGAGAAUGGCAGGUGGAGGUGGUGGCGGUGGUGGUGGAGGC